AAUUAAGCGGAGAAAGAUCUAACUAGGAUUCCCUCAGUAACGGCGAGUGAAGCGGGACUAGCUCAGGAUGUGAAUCUGCGCUUUUAUGGCGCCGAAUUGUGGUCUAUAGACUUUGACGUUAUCUGCCGGGCCAAGUUCCUUGGAAAAGGACAGCUGAGAGGGUGAGACUCCCGUCCGCCUGGUAGAAUGAGUCUUUGUCAACGAGUCGAGUUGUUUGGGAUUGCAGCUCUAAUUUGGUGGUAAAUUCCAUCUAAAGCUAAAUAUUGGUGGGAGACCGAUAGCGUACAAGUACCGUGAGGGAAAGAUGCAAAGAACUUUGAAAAGAGAGUUAAAGAGUACCUGAAAUUGCUGAAACGGAAGCGAAGGAAACCAGUGUUUGUUGGUUCAUAUUUCCCUGGCCACUUGUGGUUUGGGCGCUGUGAGCUUGCGUGGGUUUGCUUUGGUUGAUCCCUUUGGAAGAGCGCAGUCAGAGUUGAUGUCUGUUGCUAGCACUGGGUUUGACUAAUGCAG
rnacentral:sRNA from 1 species